AAGAUAGUUCUCAUGUCCAUAAUGAAGUGCUUUGUUCCAGCCUGGCUGGAUGUUUCACAAAGGCUCCUCAAGGACAAGGUGAGCCUAAUUCAGAACUGGCCACACAUCAAAGACGGUCAGCAGCCAUCUUAAAACCUUUGGGAAAUAUGACUGAAGCUCUAAGAGAAAGCAUUUGGGUGUGUCUCUCCUUCCAUGUGGCACCUCCCCCCCCCCCCAUUUUUGGCUUCCUUUUCUGUACCCUCUAUUGGCUGCUCGGGCAACAGGUGACUUAUUCCAUCAGGCUAGUGGCUUGAAAUUCACUCCCUUUCCUUGUCCCUGUUUAAAAUGCCCAUUUUUUCCCUAUACAUCUCACAUAUCCUAGAAAACAUACCCAGUUAGGUGCUAGCAACAGCUGUCUCAUUUAUAAGCAGCAUCCACAGAUGGUUUCUUACAAUGACCUGCUCAUUAGGGAAAGCAGACGUUUUUUGUUGUGUUUUUUGUAGAAUUGUGGACAUGAGGAAGCUGAAGUUCAGUGAAAACCCAGGCUCUCGUAAAAGUUGUUCAAACAAACCCUGUCAAGGUUAGGACUACGUGGUGGUUAGGGCUUUGUCAAUUUGAUACAGGCUAGGGUCAUCUGCAAAGAGGGAACUUCAACUGAGGAAUCCCCUCCACCAGACUGGCCUGUGGGGAAGUGUGUGGGGGCAUUUUCUCUAUCAGUGUUUAAUGUAGAUGGGCCCAGCCUAUUGUGGACAUACCACCCCUGGACUGGUGGCCCUGGGUGCUAUGAGAAAGCAGUGAGCAAACCAUGGGGAGCAAGACAGAAAGCAGCACCUCUCGGUGGCCUGGUUUUCAGUUUCUUCAUCUGGAGUCCUUCCUGAGUUCCUUGCCUGACUUCCCUUUAUGACGGACUACAGCAUGGGAUUGUUAGCCCAAUAAAUCUUCACGGCAGCAGAGGAGCAAAGUAUAAAUCUAAAACAUGGGCCUGGUGCUCCAGAGAACGAUGAGCCCCUCAAAGCUAAAGAAUAAUAGAUCAACCCACAAACUUUGGUGGAACUCUAGAAAAAUAUGUCCUUAGAGCAGUGGCUCUCAACUUUCCUAAUGCUGUGAGCCCUUAGUACAGUAGUUCCUCAUGUUGUGGAGACUGCCAAUCAUAAAAUUAUUUUCAUUACUACUUCCUAACUGUAAUUUUGCUACUGUUAUGAAACAUGAUGUAAAUAUCUGAUAUGCAGGAUAUCUGAUAUGCCAUCCCUGUGAAAGCGUCGUUCGGCCUCCACAAGGGUCACAACGCACAGGUUGUGAACAGCUGCCUUAGAUUAGCUACAGGCUUUGAAGCCCAAAGUUGCAGACUGGGUUCCCCCAAGUGGUGGGCUUCACUUUCAGGUAAAUCCUCAUUCUGUGUUUCCUGGAACGAGGACAGAUAAUGUUGUCCUGGAGAAGUUAACAGUUUUCAGGGGCUUCUAGGUUCUUUGAUUUGUCCUGCAGAUAGAUGCUUUUCAGCACUUGAAUGGGCAACCCUAGACCUGGCCUUAGGCACCCAGAUGUCAUCUGUACCUCCCUUUGAAUUUUCUAUUUUAGAAUUCCAAUUGGUAAACAGCAUCCAGUGGCACUUCAGCCUCUACUGUGGUAUUCAUAAUCUCACUCCUCGCUUACAUCUAGCAAACGUGUAAAACUUCAAGCAUGGUGCCAGCAGGACAGCAUUGCUAGUCCAACAUGACUAAGCCUCUGAGAGCUGAGCCUCUGGCAGUCCCUGGCCCAGUCGGGUAGACUCUUCCUCUGACAUUAUUUCUCCCUAUCCCAGCUUCUCUGGGGUGUUGAGAAACUUUCCUGGGUUCUCUUAAGUAUCACUGUAUUCAUUUCACUCAACUACCUGAUGGUAUCAGUGGCUAUUAAUGAAACCUGACGUGAUGUUGCGAUUUUUUUUUUUUUAAUGACCAGCACUGAGGAAAAGCAACAGCACAGUUCUCAUCCCAAGAUGGCAAAAACUACUGUUUGUCUGGUGAAAUAGAGAUUGUAUCCUGUUUCUUUUCUUACUAUUAAUGUUAUAUGCACCCAGACAGAUGCAGGAGUCAGUGGGAUGCCAGCAUUGUACGGCCAACAGUUACAACCACUGUUAAGAUUUUAAUAUAAAUUAGAAUGUGCCCAAGCUUCCUGUGUAUGUAAGCUAGGCAAGUGUGUAUACAAAGUGAAGCAAGGUGAUACUACACAUGCCACUUUGUGACCUGUUUUCCCAGCUUACUAGGUUGUUGUGAUGUCUCCUCUGAUUUUUCUUUUGGGGACAUUAACGCACUUGUGUUAAUCUCAGCUCUGCAUAAACUAGAGGUGGCAAGUUCAAAGCCAGCUUAGGCUAUAUAACACCCUGUCUCAAAACAAAUAAGUGAGGGGAGAAUUAAUUGAUUGAUUUCAGCAUCACAUUUCUUCCCACUAGAACAUUUUACUUACAGAAAGCUUUCUUCGUAUGGAAAUUUAAAAAUAAUCUAUACUAAAGAUCCAGACAGCCAGUCAUGCUGACUUCUGCCUGUAACCCCAGCACUUAGAGAUGAGAAGCUGAAGGAUCAACCACAAGUUCAAGGGCAACUGAGCCUACAGAGUGCAGGACUCAGAGUUAAACAGACGGCUCGGAUGUAAAGGGAUUUAUUACCAAGCUUGACAACUUCAGUUCGAUCCCAAAAACCCACAUAUUAGAAAGAAGAUCAAAAGCAAACAA
rnacentral:lncRNA from 1 species